rnacentral:misc_RNA from 1 species
CAACCCUCAAGCCCCCGGGCUUGGCGUUGGGGAUCGGCACAAGGCGGAGGGGCACCCCUAGGGAGCCCCCUCGGCCCGCCGUCCCCCAAAUUCAGUGGCGGUCACGUCGCGGCCUCCUAUGCGUAGUAGCAACACCUCGCACUGGAAGUCCCUCGCGUCCACGCCGUAAAACCCCCGACUUUUUAUCA